GUGCCCACUUCGGCAGCACAUAUACUAAAAUUGGAACGAUAUAGAGAAGAUUAGCAUGGCUCCUCACAAGGAUGACAUGCAAAUUCGGGAAGCAUUCCCUAUUUUU
ensembl:snRNA U6 U6 spliceosomal RNA